rnacentral:rRNA from 1 species
UACGGAGGGGGCUAGCGUUGUUCGGAAUUACUGGGCGUAAAGCGCACGUAGGCGGCUUUGUAAGUUAGAGGUGAAAGCCCGGGGCUCAACUCCGGAAUUGCCUUUAAGACUGCAUCGCUAGAACGUCGGAGAGGUAAGUGGAAUUCCGAGUGUAGAGGUGAAAUUCGUAGAUAUUCGGAAGAACACCAGUGGCGAAGGCGACUUACUGGACGACCGUUGACGCUGAGG